CCUACGGGAGGCAGCAGUAGGGAAUCUUCCGCAAUGGACGAAAGUCUGACGGAGCGACGCCGCGUGAGCGAAGAAGGUCUUCGGAUCGUAAAGCUCUGUUGUUAGGGAAGAACAAGUACCGUUCGAAUAGGGCGGUACCUUGACGGUACCUAACGAGAAAGCCACGGCUAACUACGUGCCAGCAGCCGCGGUAAUACGUAGGUGGCAAGCGUUGUCCGGAAUUAUU
rnacentral:rRNA from 1 species